rnacentral:misc_RNA from 1 species
AUUUAAACCCUUUGAUCAGCUAAUGGGAACCCUACCUGCUGCAAGUUCUAAUGCGUUGCCUGAAGAAUACAGGAAAUUGAUGACUGACCCAUCAUCACCAAUAACAUAACUUCUUUCCCUCAGAUUUUGAGAUUGACAUGAAUGGUAAACGCUUUGCCUGGCAGGGUAUUGCCAAAUUGCCAUUCAUUGAUGAGAGGAAAUUGCUUGCCCAAACAAAGAAACUUGAAAGCA